rnacentral:piRNA from 1 species
UCAGUGACACUAGGAACAGGAAGGG